UACAGAGGUCCCAAGCGUUGUUCGGAUUCAUUGGGCGUAAAGGGUGCGCAGGCGGCCGUGUGUGUCAGGUGUGAAAGCCCGGAGCUUAACUCCGGAAUUGCGCCUGAAACUACAUGGCUAGAGCAUUGGAGAGGGUAGCGGAAUUCACGGUGUAGCAGUGAAAUGCGUAGAUAUCGUGAGGAACACCAGAGGCGAAGGCGGCUACCUGGACAAUUGCUGACGCUCAGGCACGAAAGCGUGGGGAGCAAAAGGG
rnacentral:rRNA from 1 species